GCCAGACUCCUACGGGAGGCAGCAGUGGGGAAUAUUGCACAAUGGGGGAAACCCUGAUGCAGCGACGCCGCGUGAGUGAAGAAGUAUUUCGGUAUGCAAAGCUCUAUCAGCAGGGAAGAAAAUGACGGUACCUGACUAAGAAGCCCCGGCUAACUACGUGCCAGCAGCCGCGGUAAUACGUAGGGGGCAAGCGUUAUCCGGAUUUACUGGGUGUAAAGGGAGCGUAGACGGUGAUGCAAGUCAGAAGUGAAAGCCCGGGGCUCAACUCCGGGACUGCUUUUGAAACUGUGUAACUGGAGUGCAGGAGAGGUAAGCGGAAUCCCUAGUGUAGCGGUGAAAUGCGUAGAUAUUAGGAGGAACACCAGUGGCGAAGGCGGCUUACUGGACUGUAACUGACGUUGAGGCUCGAAAGCGUGGGGAGCAAACAGGAUUAGAUACCCUGGUA
rnacentral:rRNA from 1 species